rnacentral:rRNA from 1 species
CAGCACCUCAAGUGGUCAGGAUGAUUAUUGGGCCUAAAGCAUCCGUAGCCGGCGCUGUAAGUUUUCGGUUAAAUCUGUACGCUCAACGUACAGGCUGCCGGGAAUACUGUAGCGCUAGGGAGUGGGAGAGGUAGACGGUACUCGGUAGGAAGGGGUAAAAUCCUUUGAUCUAUUGAUGACCACCUGUGGCGAAGGCGGUCUACCAGAACACGUCCGACGGUGAGGGAUGAAAGCUGGGGGAGCAAACCGGAUUAGAUACCCGAGUAGUCC